GUCAGCGGCGAACGGGUGAGUAACACGUAUGCAACCUGCCCUGGAGACUGGGAUAGCCCCGGGAAACUGGGGGUAAUACCAGAUGAUCCCUACCAUCGCAUGAUCAGUAGGGCAAAGGGUUCGCCCGCUCCGGGAUGGGCCUGCGGCCCAUUAGCUAGUUGGUGGGGUAACGGCUCACCAAGGCGACGAUGGGUAGCUGGUCUGAGAGGAUGUCCAGCCACACUGGGACUGAGACAUGGUCCAGACUCCUACGGGAGUUAGCAUCGAGGGAUAUUGCGCAAUGAGCGGAAGCCUGACGCAGUGACGCCGCGUGGAGGAUGAAGGCUCUCGGGUCGUAAACUCCUGUCGGGUGGGAUGAAUGGCCUCGCUCCGCGGGGAGAUGACAGUACCAGCCAAGAAAGCCCCAGCUAACUACGUGCCAGCAGCUGCGGUAGUACGUAGGGGGCGAGCGUUGUCCGGAAUUACUGGGCGUAAGGGCAUCUAGGCGGUUCGGUCAGUCGAAUGUGAAAUGCUCGGGCUUAACUCGAGAACGCCGUUCGAUACUGCCGGACUUGAGUGCCGGAGAGGACAGUGGAAUUCCCGGUGUAGCGGUGGAAUGUAUAGAUAUCGGGAGGAACACCCGUGGCGAAGGCGGCUGUCUGGACGGCAACUGACGCUGAAGUGCGAAAGCUAGGGGAGCGAACGGGAUUAGAUACCCCGGAUAGUCCUAGCGCGUAAACAGAUGAUCACUAGGGUGUUGGAGGCAUCGACCCUUCCAGUGCCGUAGCUAACGCAUUAAGUGAUCCGCCUGGGGAGUACGGCCGCAAGGUUAAAACUCAAAGGAAUUGACGGGGGCCCGCACAAGCGGUGGAGCAUGUUGCUUAAUUCGACGCAACGCGAAGAACCUUACCAGGCCUUGACAUCGAAGGCAAGCCUGUGAAAGCAGGCCCUCCCCGCAAGGGGACCCGAAGACAGGUGGUGCAUGGCUGUCGUCAGCUCGUGUCGUGAGAUGUUGGGUUAAGUCCCGCAACGAGCGCAACCCUCAUCGCGUGUUACCAGCGGGUAAUGCCGGGGACUCUCGCGAAACUGCCAGAGCAAUCUGGAGGAAGGUGGGGAUGACGUCAAGUCAGCAUGCCCCUUACGGCCUGGGCUGCAAACAUGCUACAAUGGCCGGCACAAAGGGGAGCGAAGCCGCGAGGUAGAGCCAAUCCCAAAAAGCCGGUCUCAGUUCGGAUUGAAGUCUGCAACUCGACUUCAUGAAGUCGGAAUCGCUAGUAACCGCGGAUCAGCAACGCCGCGGUGAAUACGUUCCCGGGCCUUGUACACACCGCCCGUCAAGUCACGAGAGUGGCUUACGCCCGAAGCCGGUGGGCCAAC
rnacentral:rRNA from 1 species